UGCGCAGGUGGGUUUGCAAGUUUGAUGUGAAAGCCCCGGGCUUAACCCGGGAAUGGCAUUGAAUACUGCAGAUCUGGAGGAUUGGAGGGGGGACUGGAAUUCUUGGUGUAGCAGUGAAAUGCGUAGAUAUCAAGAGGAACACCAGUGGCGAAGGCGAGUCCCUGGACAAUACCUGACACUGAGGCACGAAAGCCAAGGGAGCAAAACA
rnacentral:rRNA from 1 species